rnacentral:rRNA from 1 species
GACAGAGGAUGCAAGCGUUAUCCGGAAUGAUUGGGCGUAAAGAGUUGCGUAGGUGGCACUGUAAGUUGUUAGUGAAAGCGUCCGGCUCAACCGGAUACACAUUACCAAAACUGCAGAGCUAGAGGACAAGAGAGGUUAUUGGAAUUCCUAGUGUAGGAGUGAAAUCCGUAGAUAUUAGGAGGAACACCGAUGGCGUAGGCAGAUAACUGGCUUGUUCCUGACACUAAGGCACGAAAGCGUGGGUAGCAAACGGG